CCUACGGGAUGCAGCAGUGGGGAAUCUUAGACAAUGGGCGCAAGCCUGAUCUAGCCAUGCCGCGUGGGUGAUGAAGGCCUUAGGGUCGUAAAGCCCUUUCGCCGGGGAAGAUAAUGACGGUACCCGGUAAAGAAACCCCGGCUAACUCCGUGCCAGCAGCCGCGGUAAUACGGAGGGGGUUAGCGUUGUUCGGAAUGACUGGGCGUAAAGCGCGCGUAGGCGGAUCAUCAAGUCGGGGGUGAAAUCCCGGGGCUCAACCCCGGAAUGGCCUUCGAGACUGGUGGUCUUGAGUUCGAGAGAGGUGAGUGGAAUUCCGAGUGUAGAGGUGAAAUUCGUAGAUAUUCGGAGGAACACCAGUGGCGAAGGCGGCUCACUGGCUCGACACUGACGCUGAGGUGCGAAAGCGUGGGGAGCAAACAGGAUUAGAUACCCGCGUAGUC
rnacentral:rRNA from 1 species